GCCAGUGGAUCUGCAGAGCUCCAUUUCAAUCCUGGGAUCCGAUUUGAUAUGCGGAUCAGCCCUGACUUGGCUUGGCACAAUACUGUGCAAACGUGCCUUGAAAAUCCACCUCGAGUUCCCAACCUGAAAAUGUUUUCUGCUUUUCCACUUUUAGCCAGCUCCUCCUCCACCGCAGGCUGUCAGUCAUUCCAGACUACGAGGUGGUGACGAUGUUGGUGGAAAACUGGAUGGGCAGCCCUGAUGUCCAACCCUUGCCUGGGGCCCCUCCCAGUCUCCAGAGGCCAGGGAUGCUUCCCACGUGGUAAUGACUCACCUGGGCUCCAGACUGGCAAAGCCCACACAAGAUCCCUCCUUCAUUCAAAGACCUGUACCUUGAAUGUCUAUGAGGCGAUAGCAGUUGAAGACAGCAGAUAUUUUAAGAAGCUCAAUAUAAAAAUCAUCUGUACACUAUGAAGGGCAGGUGGCUUUCAAGAGAAAUUGGAACACCACAGAACAAAAGAAGUAUGUGCUAGAGAGGAUGGAAUAAUUGACUUGAACACAGACGGAUAAGUAUCUCUGGGAAUUCCAAAGCCAGGACUAAUAGCUAAAAUUACCAGCUUAAACUAUUUCCCAUGUUCAUUCUCUAAAGCGCUAUAAAUGGAAACAGUUAAAAAUUUUUUUUCCCAAUAAAGUGUUCGCAUUCUUCUUUCUAAGACACAAGAGACUAACACUCAUUUAAGACCAACUGAGGAAAAACAGCAUUUCCAGCCACUGUGCAAAUCCUAAAAAACUUCAUCUGUAGAGGUGAGACAGAAUGAGUGGCUCCCAGGCUUCCCUGGCUUGUGCACGUGGGAGAGACGGGGGUCUAUCAUUACAUGUGCAUGUCAAUGAGCCUCAGCCCAAAGUCAAUGCCAUGGUGAUCCCCAAGGAAACUGGCUAAGUGUUCAUAACAGCCUGAGAAUGCCGGGAAUUAGAGGACAAUACUGUCUUUUUCUAAUUGGAUCAGAAUCAGCUUUGAUGUCUUCAUUCCAAGCGGACCAGCUCUGCACCGCAGCCAGCCUCUCUCACUGGGGAGAGGGGUCUGUAGACAUAUCCCAAGCCUGGAAGGAGAGAGGCUGGGGACCCUUUUGUCAGCAGAAUGCCUGGGCUGCCACUGGGCUGUUCUCCCGUCCAAGAUCACAGGGUGAGAUAGAGACUGAAAACUGUUGUGCAGCUGGUAUUGAUGAUGUUUAUUUUUAAAAAUCAUUUUUAUUGUUAUUAUUUAACAUAAAUAGGCUGCUUUUGGUUAGGUAAAAUAGUCCAAAAAGAAAUAUCCCUGUUUAUAGUUUGUUUGUUUUUUUUAAAGGUUUUUACCGUUGCUUACACAAAUACAAAGGUACCAUUUUCAAAUGAA